rnacentral:rRNA from 1 species
UACGAAGGGGGCUAGCGUUGUUCGGAAUUACUGGGCGUAAAGCGCGUGUAGGUGGUGGGACAAGUCUGCUGUGAAAGCGCCUGGCUUAACCGGGCGAGGUCGGCGGAAACUGUCCGACUAGAGGACGGUAGAGGGGGGUGGAAUUCCCGGUGUAGUGGUGAAAUGCGUAGAGAUCGGGAGGAACACCUGUGGCGAAGGCGGCCCCCUGGGCCGGCCCUGACACUGAGACGCGAAGGCGUGGGGAGCGAACGGG